UACGAAGGGGGCGAGCGUUGUUCGGAAUUACUGGGCGUAAAGGGCGCGCAGGCGGCUCAGACAGUCAGAUGUGAAAGCCCCGGGCUUAACCUGGGAACUGCAUUUGAUACUACUGAGCUUGAGUACGGGAGAGGAUAGUGGAAUUCCCAGUGUAGAGGUGAAAUUCGUAGAUAUCAGGUGGAACACCAGUGGCGAAGGCGGCUUUCUGGACGGUAACUGACGCUGAGACGCGAAAGCGUGGGGAGCAAACAGG
rnacentral:rRNA from 1 species